rnacentral:rRNA from 1 species
AGGCUCCAUCCGAAUCCAUAACGACUCUCGGCAACGGAUAUCUAGGCUCUCGCAUCGAUGAAGAACGUAGCAAACUGUGAUACUUGGUGUGAAUUGCAGAAUCCCGUGAACCAUCGAGUUUUUGAACGCAAGUUGCGCCCGAAGCCAUUAGGCCAAGGGCACGUCUGCCUGGGCGUCACGCAUCGCGUC